rnacentral:rRNA from 1 species
ACAGAGAGAAACGAAACAGUGAUGUGGAGUAAAACUUAAAAAGCGGUCCCAGUUCGAAUUGAAGGCUGAAAUUCGCCUUCAUGAAGUCGGAAUUGCUAGUAAUGGCAGGUCAGCAUACUGCCGUGAAUACGUUCCCGGGCCUUGUACACACCGCCCGUCACACCAUGAGAGUUGGGAAUACCCGAAGCCUGUGAGCUAACUUUUAGAGGCAGCAGUCGAAGGUAGAAUCAAUGAUUGGGGUGAAGUCGUAACAAGGUAUC